rnacentral:rRNA from 1 species
CACGUAGGGGGCGAGCGUUGUCCGGAUUUACUGGGCGUAAAGGGCGCGUAGGCGGUAGCACAAGUCAGUUGUGAAAUCUCCGGGCUUAACUCGGAAAGGUCAACUGAUACUGUGCGACUAGAGUGCAGAAGGGGCAACUGGAAUUCUCGGUGUAGCGGUGAAAUGCGUAGAUAUCGAGAGGAACACCUGCGGCGAAGGCGGGUUGCUGGGCUGACACUGACGCUGAUGCGCGAAAGCCAGGGGAGCGAACGGG